rnacentral:rRNA from 1 species
GGACUACUGGGGUUUCUAAUCCCAUUCGCUCCCCACGCUUUCGUCCUAGCAGUGUCAGGUGGCACCCAGAAGCUUGCCUUCGCUAUUGGUGUUCCGAACGAUAUCAACGCAUUUCACUACUACACCGUUCGUUCCAGCUUCCUCUUUGCCCCUCGAGUCAUAUAGUUUCAAAGGACAGAUUCCGAGUUGAGCUCGGAGAUUUCACCUCUGACUUAUAUAACCACCGAUCGGUACGCUUUACGCCCAAUGAUUCCGGAUAACGCUUGAGGUCUCUGUAUUACCGCGGCUGCUGGCAC